rnacentral:rRNA from 1 species
GAGUUUGAUCCUGGCUCAGGACGAACGCUGGCGGCGUGCUUAACACAUGCAAGUCGAACGGAGCGAAAUGGAAGCUUGCUUCUAUGGAGCUUAGUGGCGAACGGGUGAGUAACGCGUAAUCAACCUGCCCUUCAGAGGGGGACAACAGUUGGAAACGACUGCUAAUACCGCAUACGAUUCAACUUCGGCAUCGAGGAUGAAUGAAAGGUGGCCUCUAUUUAUAAGCUAUCGCUGAAGGAGGGGAUUGCGUCUGAUUAGCUAGUUGGAGGGGUAACGGCCCACCAAGGCGAUGAUCAGUAGCCGGUCUGAGAGGAUGAACGGCCACAUUGGGACUGAGACACGGCCCAGACUCCUACGGGAGGCAGCAGUGGGGAAUCUUCCGCAAUGGACGAAAGUCUGACGGAGCAACGCCGCGUGAGUGAUGACGGCCUUCGGGUUGUAAAGCUCUGUUAAUCGGGACGAAAGGUCCUCUUGUGAAUAAUUAGAGGAAUUGACGGUACCGGAAUAGAAAGCCACGGCUAACUACGUGCCAGCAGCCGCGGUAAUACGUAGGUGGCAAGCGUUGUCCGGAAUUAUUGGGCGUAAAGCGCGCGCAGGCGGAUUAGUCAGUCUGUCUUAAAAGUUCGGGGCUUAACCCCGUGAUGGGAUGGAAACUGCUAAUCUAGAGUAUCGGAGAGGAAAGUGGAAUUCCUAGUGUAGCGGUGAAAUGCGUAGA